GAUGAACGCUAGCGGCAGGCCUAAUACAUGCAAGACGAACGGUAAGUUGAGUAGCAAUACUUAGCCAAGAGUGUCGUACGGGUGCGUAACACGUAUGCAACCUACCCUAUACAGGAGGAUAGCCUAGGGGAAACCUGGAUUAACCCUUCAUAGUAUUAUUGGAUGGCAUCAUUUGAUAAUUAAAACUGAGGUGGUAUAGGAUGGGCAUGCGUCUGAUUAGUUAGUUGGCGGGGUAAUGGCCCACCAAGACGAUGAUCAGUAGGGGUUCU
rnacentral:rRNA from 1 species